CCCAUUGCUUGUUUUUGUCAGAUUUGUCAAAGAUCAGAUAGUUGUAGAUAUGCUUGUUUUAUCGUCAAUUUUCUCUUUCAGGUCAGGGACAUUUUCUCUUUGUUUCAGUCCUGAGUCCCAAGUCUAGGCCAUGCAGACACAGAGAAGACACUAUUUUUAAAUGAGGUAUUAAAUGAAAUGAGUGUGCAAGCACUUGGCAAUCUGAUACCUGCUUACCCAGAAGCUUGUUCUGACAGCCUUCUCAUUUGAAAUCCCAGGAAAUAUAGAUAAUUCACUCUGAUUGCCAAAGAAUAGCCAAAGCCAGCAGCAGUGUCUCUUUUAUGACAUCACGUUCUUAGAGAAAGCAUGAAGGAGAGACCCUGCUGGAUAAACUAAGGUCAAAGCUGAAAUUAUUGUUAGAACUCUGUUUAAGAAAAGCCUCUGUAAGUCUUGGUGCGAGUGAUUAUUAAAUCUUCCUGUAUCCGUGGAUGUUGGAAAUGGUGGAGAAUGGGAGUGGAGGAUUCUUAUAGAUUCAGAAUAGAUUCAGAGUAGCUGGCUCUACCAAGAAGCACAAGUUUUACAAUACUAUAGACUCUUCUGAAUAUCCAUUAUUGCGGAACUCCACAAAGCUACCUCCAGCCCCACUGACCUGUAUUUGUUCUGCAGUUGUCUAUGUUGGACUCUGAACCACCCAGGCUCUUUCUGCACUUCGGGCUGAGUAUGCAGACUUGCCGUUAUAGUGCCUGGAGCUAGUUACAGUUCUACCCCAGGAAGAGAAGGGCCAAGCCCUGCCUUCCACACCCAGUCUAUUCUGACAGCCUAAUAUUUCAUCCUGUAUGCUUUACCUGGGCCAGCCUCUGAAGAAGCCAUUGGGUUGCUUCUUUAGUUUUAUUAUCUUCCUGGUUAUUGAUACUCGUUUUGCCCUGAAGUGGCAUCCAUUGGAUCAUUCUCAGCUUCAAACUCAGAAAUCCUGUCACCCAAGUAGAAUGUCAGUUGUCCCCUUGACCAGAAGGAGAUUUCAGACAGCAGGAGCUACUCAUCAAGGAAUUUGAAGGCUCUGUAACCACCUGUUGCCAACUCCCACUCCACCCCCCUCCAUCUCU
rnacentral:lncRNA from 1 species